UACGAGGGGGGCGAGCGUUGUUCGGAAUUAUUGGGCGUAAAGGGCGCGUAGGCGGCCUGGCAAGUGGAAGGUGAAAUCCCUCGGCUUAACCGAGGAACUGCCCUCCAAACUGCUUGGCUUGAGUCCGGGAGAGGUGGGUGGAAUUCCCAGUGUAGCGGUGAAAUGCGUAGAUAUUGGGAGGAACACCAGUGGCGAAGGCGGCUCACUGGACCGGAACUGACGCUGAGGCGCGAAAGCGUGGGGAGCAAACGGG
rnacentral:rRNA from 1 species